CUGAUUUGGCAGCACAUACACUGGAAUCAGAACCAUCCUGAGAAGAUUAGCAUGGACCAUGCGCAAGGAUGUUAUGCAAAUGUGCGAAAUGUUCAAAUGCAUC